AGAAAGCCAAAAAGAUUUUCUCAUUUCGCAAAUACAUUUUUUUCAGUGCCGUUUAGUAGUUGUGAUGACUGAGGGGCCAGAAAACCAAAACCAAAACAAGCCAUGUGGUGGAGGGCUGCCAUUCGCCUGCAUGGAUUAAUGAGCCUCAGCGGCUACCACAUUGGGAUUUUCGUAGCCGGGGACUCUGUGGAUUAUGUUGACUUUCUGCAGAAAAUGCUACUGGGGAGCCGUGGCCACAGCCUCAGCCAAAGUGAAAGGACGAGCCUCAACACAGAAAACAGAGAACAGAGCCCAGGAUGUGCCGGAUACCAGCCGGUGUGAGUCUGUCCUCAGGUGGGGCGGACGAGAUGGCCGGAAGUUCUGAGCCGCUGGCACACAGACUAAUAAUGAAAUACAUGAAUUUUUUAGACAAUAAUCGCUGCAGCUUAGCUGGGAUUAUAAUGGGAGCAUGAUGGCACAAGGAAUAACAAAGGAGCCCAGGACUCCUAUUUAGAGAUGCUGAUAAAACAAUAUCCCAACACUUUCGCCCAGACGAGCUGGAUACAUUGUGUUUGGCCACUGUUGCUAAAAUUUAAUUAAACUUGUAACUAAAUUAUUUCGAUAUGCAAAGCAAGCCACGAGGAUGACGACGACACUGCCGAGAACAGAAACUAAAAUAAAGGCAACUGGAGCAGCAACAUCGGCAAAGGGCA
rnacentral:sRNA from 1 species